rnacentral:rRNA from 1 species
CCUACGGGAGGCAGCAGUGGGGAAUAUUGGGCAAUGGGCGCAAGCCUGACCCAGCAACGCCGCGUGAAGGAAGAAGGCUUUCGGGUUGUAAACUUCUUUUGUCAGGGAAGAGUAGAAGACGGUACCUGACGAAUAAGCCACGGCUAACUAAGUGCCAGCAGCCGCGGUAAUACGUAGGUGGCAAGCGUUGUCCGGAUUUACUGGGUGUAAAGGGCGUGUAGCCGGGUUGACAAGUCAGAUGUGAAAUCCUGCGGCUUAACCGCAGAACUGCAUUUGAAACUGGUGAUCUUGAGUACUGGAGAGGCAGACGGAAUUCCUAGUGUAGCGGUUAAAUGCGUAGAUAUUAGGAGGAACACCAGUGGCGAAGGCGGUCUGCUGGACAGCAACUGACGGUGAGGCGCGAAAGCGUGGGGAGCAAACAGGAUUAGAUACCCCAGUAGUC